rnacentral:rRNA from 1 species
GACGAACGCUGGCGGCGCGCCUAACACAUGCAAGUCGAACGAGCGAGAGAGAGCUUGCUUUCUCGAGCGAGUGGCGAACGGGUGAGUAACGCGUGAGGAACCUGCCUCAAAGAGGGGGACAACAGUUGGAAACGACUGCUAAUACCGCAUAAGCCCACGGGUCGGCAUCGACCAGAGGGAAAAGGAGCAAUCCGCUUUGAGAUGGCCUCGCGUCCGAUUAGCUAGUUGGUGAGGUAAUGGCCCACCAAGGCAACGAUCGGUAGCCGGACUGAGAGGUUGAACGGCCACAUUGGGACUGAGACACGGCCCAGACUCCUACGGGAGGCAGCAGUGGGGAAUAUUGCACAAUGGGGGAAACCCUGAUGCAGCGACGCCGCGUGGAGGAAGAAGGUCUUCGGAUUGUAAACUCCUGUUGUUGGGGAAGAUAAUGACGGUACCCAACAAGGAAGUGACGGCUAACUACGUGCCAGCAGCCGCGGUAAAACGUAGGUCACAAGCGUUGUCCGGAAUUACUGGGUGUAAAGGGAGCGCAGGCGGGAAGACAAGUUGGAAGUGAAAUCUAUGGGCUCAACCCAUAAACUGCUUUCAAAACUGUUUUUCUUGAGUAGUGCAGAGGUAGGCGGAAUUCCCGGUGUAGCGGUGGAAUGCGUAGAUAUCGGGAGGAACACCAGUAGCGAAGGCGGCCUACUGGGCACCAACUGACGCUGAGGCUCGAAAGUGUGGGUAGCAAACAGGAUUAGAUACCCUGGUAGUCCACACCGUAAACGAUGAUUACUAGGUGUUGGAGGAUUGACCCCUUCAGUGCCGCAGUUAACACAAUAAGUAAUCCACCUGGGGAGUACGACCGCAAGGUUGAAACUCAAAGGAAUUGACGGGGGCCCGCACAAGCAGUGGAGUAUGUGGUUUAAUUCGACGCAACGCGAAGAACCUUACCAAGUCUUGACAUCCCUUGACAGACAUAGAAAUAUGUAAUCUCUUCGGAGCAAGGAGACAGGUGGUGCAUGGUUGUCGUCAGCUCGUGUCGUGAGAUGUUGGGUUAAGUCCCGCAACGAGCGCAACCCUUAUGGUCAGUUACUACGCAAGAGGACUCUGGCCAGACUGCCGUUGACAAAACGGAGGAAGGUGGGGAUGACGUCAAAUCAUCAUGCCCUUUAUGACUUGGGCUACACACGUACUACAAUGGCGUUAAACAAAGAGAAGCAAGACCGCGAGGUGGAGCAAAACUCAGAAACAACGUCCCAGUUCGGACUGCAGGCUGCAACUCGCCUGCACGAAGUCGGAAUUGCUAGUAAUCGUGGAUCAGCAUGCCACGGUGAAUACGUUCCCGGGCCU